AAACAUUCAGGAACAAGAUCAUGCUCCGGUCUACAUUCAUUAAGGAAAAUGACAGGAUAGAUAGAGGGAGACGGAAAUAGAGAGGGCAGGGGUAGAUACAGAGAGAUACAGAGAGAGAUACAGAGAGAUACAGAGAGAGAGGAAGGGGUAGAUACAGAGAGAGAUACAGAGAGAGAGGAAGGGGGUAGAUACAGAGAGAUACAGAGAGAGAUACAGAGAGAUACAGAGAGAGAGGAAGGGAGAGAUACAGAGAGAGAUACAGAGAGAGAGGAAGGGGUAGAUACAGAGAGAGAUACAGAGAGAGAGGAAGGGAGAGAUACAGAGAGAGAUACAGAGAGAGAGGAAGGGGGUAGAUACAGAGAGAUACAGAGAG
ensembl:lncRNA